UCCCUCUUCGGAGCAGUGGAGACAGGUGGUGCAUGGUUGUCGUCAGCUCGUGUCGUGAGAUGUUGGGUUAAGUCCCGCAACGAGCGCAACCCUUAUCCUUAGUAGCCAGCGAGUCGAGUCGGGCACUCUGGGGAGACUGCCAGGGAUAACCUGGAGGAAGGUGGGGAUGACGUCAAAUCAUCAUGCCCCUUAUGAUUUGGGCUACACACGUGCUACAAUGGCGUAAACAAAGGGAAGCAAAGGAGCGAUCUGGAGCAAACCCCAAAAAUAACGUCUCAGUUCGGAUUGCAGGCUGCAACUCGCCUGCAUGAAGCUGGAAUCGCUAGUAAUCGCGAAUCAGAAUGUCGCGGUGAAUACGUUCCCGGGUCUUGUACACACCGA
rnacentral:rRNA from 1 species